rnacentral:rRNA from 1 species
CCUACGGGGGGCUGCAGUGAGGAAUAUUGGUCAAUGGGCGCUAGCCUGAACCAGCCAAGUAGCGUGAAGGAUGACUGCCCUAUGGGUUGUAAACUUCUUUUAUAUGGGAAUAAAGUGCAGUAUGUAUACUGCUUUGCAUGUACCUUAUGAAUAAGGAUCGGCUAACUCCGUGCCAGCAGCCGCGGUAAUACGGAGGAUCCGAGCGUUAUCCGGAUUUAUUGGGUUAAAAGGGAGCGUAGGCGGGUUGUUAAGUCAGUUGUGAAAGUUUGCGGCUCAACCGUAAAAUUGCAGUUGAUACUGGCAUCCUUGAGUACAGUAGAGGUAGGCGGAAUGCGCCGUGUAGCGGUGAAAUGCAUAGAUAUCGCGCAGAACUCCGAUUGCGAAGGCAGCAUGCCGGCUCCACACUGACGCUGAGGCACGAAAGCGUGGGUAUCGAACAGGAUUAGAUACCCGUGUAGUC